rnacentral:rRNA from 1 species
ACGGAGGGUGCGAGCGUUGUCCGGAAUCACUGGGCGUAAAGGGCGCGUAGGCGGCUCGUUAAGGGUGCGGUGAAAGCCCGGGGCUUAACCCCGGGUCGGCCGUGCCGACUGAUGAGCUCGAGCACUGUAGAGGCAGGUGGAAUUCCAGGUGUAGCGGUGAAAUGCGUAGAUAUCUGGAGGAACAUCGGUGGCGAAGGCGGCAUCCUGGACCGGUAUUGACGCUGAGGCGCGAAAGCGUGGGGAGCGAACAGGA